AGAGGAUACAGAAGGAUGCUAGGCCUGCACAGCGCUGGACCAGACUGUAGAGCCAAUGCUCAUACAGACACCAACUUAUGAGCCAUAAAGCUAAUGUUCAGUAAUUAGGCCUGAGAAUAUUUUGUGCAUUAUCUUAGAACAAAUAAACGGAUCCAUCAGUCAUUCAGUGUUUACAUGGAGAACUUAAACCCUAAAAUAAGGAUGCUGAUAUGCUAAAUGGGUGUGGCUGAUGAAAGAUGAUGUUGAGACUGUCAAUCACACUACUGCAAGAGCUGCGUGUACUGACUGUUAACCGGGUUCUUAGCCAUCAGACAAUUAUUAAAAUACACAGAGCAAUUUGAAAGUCGUGCGAUUUUUUUUACUGAGAUGAAAUACACUUCGAGAUGAAAGGCCCCCAUCAGCCAUCCAUCAGCCCUGGUUAACAGGCCACCGCUGCAUGGUGCAUGAUGCAGUGCAGACUUGUGCCUGCAUCCCGUCCUCUAACCAGAGGUGUUUCGGUCAUGAAGCAAUGGACGGGAGGAAGGAGAGGGAGGACGGCAGGAGUUGGCGCAAAAGAACAGAGGAAAUUCCAUUGGAGUAAUAUGGCAUGACCACGCCCACUAUCCCGCAGUGGAACAGAGACAACUGUCAGUGGUGAGCCAGGAUGCAAGCUGUGCGUGUGAAGUGCAGAGAACAACAGAAGUACAUCAGUUUUGAGGGCCAACUGACCUACAGAUCAUUUUUGGAAUGCGUUGCCAAGAAGUUCAACAUCCUGAACAUAUGACUUCUCUAAGAUACUUGAUCCAAUUGUGAAGAAUAUGAAAAUCCUGGAGGGGAUGGAAUUACAAUUGCCCUGCAUGAUGACCCAGUACAUGGAACUAUUGUCCAAGUUACUACUGACAACUUUGGUCUUCACUGUCUGUUUGGUUUUCUAGAGUCAUUUAGUGCCAGAUAUUGUUGCAACUUUUGUCUUGCUGAGAAAGAGGACUUUCAGAAAGAGUUUACAGAGGAUUCACCCAAGAUAAUCAUGCGAACUCAAGCACUUCAUACUGAACAUUGCCAAAAAAUGGAGGCAAAUCCCAGACUGCCUUAUGUGAUGGGUGUUAAACAGUCUUGGAUUCUAAACUCAUUGCAGUACUUCAAUACAUGUGAAAAUUUCUCUGUUGAUAUUAUGCACGAUAUCUUGGAGGGAGUCGCACAAUAUGAAAUGAAACUGAUUAUGUUACAUGCAAUAGAUCAGUAUACAACAUCAAAGGAAGUGGACAUGAGAAUUAAGAGCUUAAACUGUGGCUAAAUGGAACAAAACGACAAACCACCUACAGUGAAGUUGGGAGAGGACUCAAAUGACUUGGAGUUAAAUGCCAUCCAGUCCUGGUGUUUACAUCGGCAUCUACCACUCAUCUUUGGAGACUUAGUUUGUCCAAACGAUCAGCACUGGUAUUUGCUACUGCUGUUGUUUCAAAUAGUGAAUAUUGUAUUUUCAGCAGUGUUAUAUAAAAGGUAUCUCCAUUUUCUUGAAACACCUGAUCGCCAAACGCCACAGGUUAUCCAAGGGUUUAUUUCCACACAAGAAGCUGCUACCAAAGCAUCAUUUCGUGAUGCAUUAUCCUACAUGUAUACUUAAAACACGACCACUUUUGCAUAGCUGGUGCAUACGCAAUGAAGCAAAACACAGCUUCUUUAAAAAAAACAAUUGAAAAGUUUCAAAAA